GAAUAUUGGACAAUGGGCGCAAGCCUGAUCCAGCCACGCCGCGUGAGUGAUGAAGGCCUUCGGGUUGUAAAGCUCUGUGGGGAGGGACGAAAACGGCGGGGAACAAUACCCCCGGCCUUGACGGUACCUCCUUAGCAAGCACCGGCUAACUCUGUGCCAGCAGCCGCGGUAAGACAGAGGGUGCAAACGUUGCUCGGAAUCACUGGGCGUAAAGCGCGUGUAGGCUGAUUCGUUAGUCGGGUGUGAAAUCCCUGGGCUCAACCCAGGAACUGCAUCCGAAACUGCGAGUCUAGAGUGUCGGAGAGGGAAGCGGAAUUCCUGGUGUAGAGGUGAAAUUCGUAGAUAUCAGGAGGAACACCGGUGGCGAAGGCGGCUUCCUGGACGAUGACUGACGCUGAGACGCGAAAGCGUGGGGAGCAAACAGG
rnacentral:rRNA from 1 species